GCAUUGGUGGUUUAAUGGUAGAAUUCUCACCUUGCAUGCAGGAGACCCUGUUUGAUUCCAAGCCAAUGCA
rnacentral:tRNA from 1 species